GAUGUGAUCCCCAUCUGCCACAUAAGAAUGUUAGGUAAGCCCUGAAGCCACAAGACUGUGCCUCCAACGCCGGGUUCCUGGUUCUCUCUGCCCGUUCCCGCCACAGAACACUGUUGCCAUGGAGAUGACCAUUACUCUAAGUGGGCACAGCUGAGUGAGGACUCCAGCAAGGCCUCUUCGGAAGGAGACCGUGCAUGGCGACUCUUCGCCCCCUCGCCCACCUCCUCAUCUAUUUACUCGCCUAUUCCUGUGUUUACUCAUGUUUGUACUUGUUGAUUUAUUUUUUUAGCAUCUUUGUAGAAGACUAGGCAGCUGAGCUGGACGGAAGCCACUUGGUCACCGAAAGCCUUUCCCACGGGCCAAGAAAUGGCCGAUUUCUCUCAAAUGCUGUAUACUGGAAGAAUCCAAAGGAUUCAUCAGAUGGACACAUUUCAAAGAACCACUACCAAUUUUUUUUUCUUAAGAAGUGCAUCAAGCCUCUGAUUUGCUGCUGACAAAUUGUCUUUUUUGUCUCUCUGCUCUGCCCCUCUCUCCCCGCUUUCCCCAGCCCUCCUCACCCUGGCCCCUCUCCCGUCUCCCCCUCCUUGCUUAGGUAUCUGCCCAGAGGACACCAUUUCUUCUCAGACGUGAUGACCAGGAAGAAUGUUUUUCAGUUAUCAUAAAGAUCGUGAGUUUCUGCUUUGCUCCAGUGACCACAUGAUGACUUUCUUUCCCAGCUUGUCAUGGAUUGGGUCUGCUUUUUCAAGCAUUUUAUAAUAAUUAUUUGGCUUUUUACCCUUCUGAAUUCUCUCUGGAAUUAAUAAAGUUAAAAAAAAUGA